rnacentral:rRNA from 1 species
UACGUAGGGGGCUAGCGUUGUCCGGAAUCAUUGGGCGUAAAGCGCGUGUAGGCGGCCCGGUAAGUCCGCUGUGAAAGUCGGGGGCUCAACCCUGGAAUGCCGGUGGAUACUGUCGAGCUAGAGUCCGGAAGGGGCGAGUGGAAUUCCUGGUGUAGCGGUGAAAUGCGCAGAUAUCAGGAGGAACACCAAUGGCGAAGGCAGCUCGCUGGGACGUGACUGACGCUGAGACGCGAAAGCGUGGGGAGCAAACAGG